UACGUAGGGGGCGAGCGUUGUCCGGAGUUACUGGGCGUAAAGCGCACGCAGGCGGUCUGCUAAGUUUGGAGUGACAGUUGGUGGCUUAACUGCCAAAGUGCUUCGAAAACUGACAGACUUGAGGGCUUCAGAGGGACACGGAAUUCCCGGUGUAGCGGUGGAAUGCGUAGAGAUCGGGAAGAACAUCAGUGGCGAAGGCGGUCUGCUGGGCCGUUGCUGACGCUGAGGCGCGACAGCGUGGGGAGCAAACAGG
rnacentral:rRNA from 1 species